AGUGAUCUAUCCAUGGCCAGGUUGAAGCGUGUGUAAGAGCACGUGGAGGACCGAACCCACUUAGGUUGAAAACUGAGGGGAUGAGCUGUGGAUAGGGGUGAAAGGCCAAUCAAACUUCGUGAUAGCUGGUUCUCUCCGAAAUGCAUUUAGGUGCAGCGUUGCGUGUUUCUUGCCGGAGGUAGAGCUACUGGAUAGCUGAUGGGCCCUAAAAGGUUACUGACGUUAGCCAAACUCCGAAUGCCGGUAAGUGAGAGCGCAGCAGUGAGACGGUGGGGGAUAAGCUUCAUCGUCGAGAGGGUAACAGCCCAGACUACCAACUAAGGUCCCCAAGCGUGUGCUAAGUGGGAAAGGAUGUGGAGUUGCAUAGACAACCAGGAUGUUGGCUUAGAGGCAGCCACUCGUUCAAAGAGUGCGUAAUAGCUCACUGGUCGAGUGAUUCCGCGCCGACAAUGUAACGGGGCUCAAGCACACCACCGAAGUUGUAGAUUUCGUAUGUUAGGUAAGCCUUCGUGGUUCAGCCGUACGGA
rnacentral:rRNA from 1 species